rnacentral:rRNA from 1 species
AUUGAACGCUGGCGGAAUGCUUUACACAUGCAAGUCGAACGGCAGCACGGGGGCAACCCUGGUGGCGAGUGGCGAACGGGUGAGUAAUACAUCGGAACGUGCCCAGUCAUGGGGGAUAACGUAGCGAAAGUUACGCCAAUACCGCAUACGAUCUACGGAUGAAAGCGGGGGACCGUAAGGCCUCGCGCGAUUGGAGCGGCCGAUGUCAGAUUAGGUAGUUGGUGAGGUAAAGGCUCACCAAGCCGACGAUCUGUAGCUGGUCUGAGAGGACGACCAGCCACGCUGGGACCGAGUCAGGGCCCAGACGCCUCCGGGAGGCAGCAUGGGGGAAUUUUGGACAAUGGGCGCAAGCCUGAUCCAGCCAUUCCGCAUGCAGGACGAAGGCCUUCGGGUUGUAAACUGCUUUUGUACGGAACGAAAAGGCUCUGGUUAAUACCGGGGGCUCAUGACGGUACCGUAAGAAUAAGCACCGGCUAACUACGUGCCAGCAGCCGCCGUAA